rnacentral:rRNA from 1 species
UACGUAGGGGGCAAGCGUUGUCCGGAUUUAUUGGGCGUAAAGAGCGUGUAGGCGGCUGGGUAGGUCCGUUGUGAAAACUCGAGGCUCAACCUCGAGACGCCGAUGGAAACCCCCCAGCUAGAGUCCGGAAGAGGAGAGUGGAAUUCCUGGUGUAGCGGUGAAAUGCGCAGAUAUCGGGAAGAACACCCGUGGCGAAGGCGGUUCUCUGGGACGGUACUGACGCUGAGACGCGAAAGCGUGGGGAGCGAACAGG